rnacentral:rRNA from 1 species
UACGUAGGGUGCAAGCGUUGUCCGGAAUUAUUGGGCGUAAAGGGCGCGUAGGCGGUUGCUCAAGUCAGGCGUGAAAGCCCCGGGCUCAACCUGGGAAUUGCGCUUGAGACUGGGCGGCUUGAGUUCGGGAGAGGUGAGUGGAAUUCCCAGUGUAGAGGUGAAAUUCGUAGAUAUUGGGAAGAACACCGGUGGCGAAGGCGGCUCACUGGACCGACACUGACGCUGAGGCGCGAAAGCGUGGGGAGCAAACAGG